CGUGCAGACUCAGCCAUAAAUCCUGUAAAAAGGUAGGCUACCUUGAGAGGGUCAUCACACCCAAGUGUAAACGCCAGCACUUGGCUCUGUGGUCUGUAAUUAAACUAAGUACCGAUGCUUUAUAAGGUCGUGUUGCAGACGUAAAAAGCCCUUUGAAGUUUGUCGAGGCACACUUUAC
rfam:Halothece sp. PCC 7418, complete genome.